rnacentral:lncRNA from 1 species
GUCCCUGGUUAUGGGGAGGGUUGGGAUCCACGCCACAUUCUUUUUUUUUGUGUCUAUCCCAAGUCAGUGUUGUUUGUUGCUGUCUUCCAUUUGUAGGUUCAGAUUUUUUUUUGAUGACUAAGGGGUAUAGGCUUUGCUCAUUGUUGAAGUUGAAGGUGACAUAUAGUUGUUAAUUUCUGUGUCAUUUUGUAUCUUGUGAAGAGUUUGUCUCAUUGGCAAUCAAACCACGUCUUCUAUUUCACAUAUAAUCCUC